AUCAUCUAGGGAAAUUUCAGUGAUGUCUCCAUCUUCUUCUGAGCAUGAUGCUGAAGACACAGCCGCAACUACAACUAAAGCUGAAGCCUUUAUGGAAGAGUACAUGUGCCAAUACAUGGAGGAUGAUAGUAACCAUCAACGUGUGCUUUGAGCAAUAACGUCAAACACACGUCACACGAGAAGAUAUGUGCAACGAGAUCGGGAAGGAGCACACGAGCGACUCAUGCGAGAUUAUUUUGAUGAUAAUCCAACAUGGGGUCCCAACGUAUUCAGGCGGCAUUUUCGGAUGCGGAAAGAGUUAUUCACUCGCAUAGUGAAUGCUUUGGAAGUCCACAACACAUGGUUUCAACAAAGACCCGAUGCCACAGGGAAGAAAGGUUUCACGCCACUACAAAAAUGUACAAAUGCGAUUAGACAGGAAAAUAAAUCGUGGUUCGGUAGGAGGAUUCAACGAGUACCUCAGAAGGGGUGCUAAAGUACGUGACAAAAUAAUACAUCACCAACUUCGAUCCGAUCUGGUUGAUCGAGCACGUGUGGGCGCGAUUCGGCGAUGAUUAGUGUCACAAUUAAUUUUUUUCGAGUUUGUCAUUUGGUAUUUAAAUGAAGAUGUUGUGUGUAUUUAAAUUUGUGUUUUUCAUUUUAGUUGUGUAUUGUAAGAAAUUAAUUUUCAAUAAAAUGCGCGUUUGAAUUUUAA